GGCGGACGGGUGAGUAAUGCAUAGAUAACUUGCCCCUGAGAUGGGAAUAACGCUUCGAAAGGAGUGCUAAUACCCAAUGCCGUCUCGAGUCGCAGGGCUCGAGAUGAAAGGAGGCCUCUGAUUCAAGCUUCCGCUCAGGGAGAGGUUUAUGUCCUAUUAGCUAGUUGGUGAGGUAACGGCUCACCAAGGCUUCGAUGGGUAGCCGACCUGAGAGGGUGACCGGCCACACUGGGACUGAGACACUGCCCAGACUCCUACGGGAGGCUGCAGUCGAGAAUCUUCCGCAAUGCGCGCAAGCGUGACGGAGCGACGCCGCGUGGGCGAUGAAGGCCUUCGGGUUGUAAAGCCCUGUUAGCUACUAUGAACCGCGGGUGGUGAACAACCAUCCCGUCUGACGUAAGUAGCAAAGAAAGCACCGGCUAACUACGUGCCAGCAGCCGCGGUAAUACGUAGGGUGCUAACGUUGUUCGGAAUCACUGGGCAUAAAGAGCGCGUAGGCAGUCUGAUAAGUCAGGUGUGAAAUCCCCCGGCUCAACCGGGGAACUGCACCUGAUACUGUUGGGCUUGAGUGCAGGAGGGGAGAGCGGAAUUCCUGGUGGAGCGGUGAAAUGCGUAGAUAUCAGGAGGAACGCCGGCGGCGAAAGCGGCUCUCUGGCCUGUUACUGACGCUGAGGCGCGAAAGCUAGGGGAGCAAACGGGAUUAGAUACCCCGGUAGUCC
rnacentral:rRNA from 1 species